GCUGCUGGAAUAAAUCAGGAUACGGAUGCCCAGGAAAUCCAGGCCGCAGUAGGAGGAAGGGGAGCGGGUCCUGGUGCAGAGCCCGCGGCCAAGCCACCGGCUCUGCCCACCGCUGGGGAGCAGGGCGGAUGCCGGUGACCAGACUCCCCAGUGUGUCUAGUCUCCUUGGUGCUGCAAGUUAAAAAGGAGAAGAUGGAGAUGCAGCCACACCUGCUGUGCUCAGGGAUCACUCCUGUGGUCAAGGAACCAUAUGUUGUACCAGGGAUGGAACCCAAAUCGGCUGUCUGCAAGGUGCGGGGCUGAGCCCCUCAGGAGUCCCUCUCUGCUCCAGUCCACGUGAUUAUCACACCAGUCCAGGGAGCCGC